UAUAUGUGAAUCUAAAAAAAAAAACAUAUGAAUGAAUAUAACAAAACAGAAAGAGACUCACAGAUACAGAGAGCAAACUAGUGGUUACCAGUGGUGGGAGGGCGGGGAGAGAGGCAAGAUAGGGGGAGAGAAUUAAGAGGUGCAGACCAUUAUGUAUAAAAUAAAUAAGCUACAAGGAUAUAUUGUACAGCACAGGGAAUACAGCCAAUAUUUUAUAAUAAUUUUAAGUGGAG